rnacentral:rRNA from 1 species
GACGACCGGCGGCGUGCUUAACACAUGCAAGUCGAACGAUGAAAGCGGAGCUUGCUCCUGCUGGAUUAGUGGCGAACGGGUGAGUAACACGUGAGCAAUCUGCCCCUGACUCUGGGAUAAGCGUUGGAAACGACGUCUAAUACCGGAUACGAGAUGAGACCGCAUGGUCAUCAUCUGGAAAGAACUUCGGUCAGGGAUGAGCUCGCGGCCUAUCAGCUUGUUGGUGAGGUAAUGGCUCACCAAGGCGACGACGGGUAGCCGGCCUGAGAGGGUGACCGGCCACACUGGGACUGAGACACGGCCCAGACUCCUACGGGAGGCAGCAGUGGGGAAUAUUGCACAAUGGGCGCAAGCCUGAUGCAGCAACGCCGCGUGAGGGAUGAAGGCCUUCGGGUUGUAAACCUCUUUUAGCAGGGAAGAAGCGAAAGUGACGGUACCUGCAGAAAAAGCGCCGGCUAACUACGUG